rnacentral:rRNA from 1 species
UACGUAGGUGGCAAGCGUUGUCCGGAUUUACUGGGCGUAAAGGGCGUGCAGGCGGUUUGUUAAGUCUAGGGUGAAAGCUCCCGGCUCAACUGGGAGAGGUCCUUGGAUACUGGCAGACUUGAGGAGGGUAGAGGAGAGUGGAAUUCCCGGUGUAGUGGUGAUAUGCGUAGAUAUCGGGAGGAACACCAGUGGCGAAGGCGGCUCUCUGGGCCCUACCUGACGCUGAGACGCGAAAGCGCGGGGAGCGAACCGG